AUUGUUGGGAUUUGUAGUCUACUGACAAAGUAGGCGGAGUGCGUCUAUUCCCCUUUUCUGCUUUGCCAAAGUGCUUGCUGGCAGCAGGGAGGAGCUGAAAGUGGACUAGGGUGGAGUUUUCUAAAGAGUCAGGGUGGCGUGUUUGGAAAGCCUUGUAUGGCAAGGGCAUGUGAAUUCCUGGGGAGGGCCUGGCAAGCUUUACAGCUCCAUGGGAGAUCAAAGCUAAAAGGCUCUUUUUGCAGACCUAGCAAACGUGAGACCUUCACGUGAUUGCAGAACUGACCUCGCCCUGAGGUUAUUGGAAGGUCCAGAGAUCAAGACUCUCCUGUGUUUGCAGCUAGUGACAAGGCAGAGGGAACCAGAGUUGAAAUUCAUUCAGCCUAAUCUGGCUCUUGGCAAGAAGCAAAACUGUUUUGCAGUCUGCAUGAGGGUCUAGUUCUGUGGGAUGGCCUUGCAUUUGAACCGUCCUGCUUCUGCCUCCCAAGUUCUGGGGCUGCAGCUGUUACUCAUACACCCAAGUCAAAGAAAUGACUUUGGAUAUCCUUGCAGUGGAGAUGAGGAUAUGAGCCCACUUCCCACUCCGUCUCUUUUGUUGGAUUCAAGGGAAUAACAAGAAAGGUCAGGGCUUUUUCUUGGUCCUAGAAAAUUCUAACAUGUAAACUGUGCUCUUUUCUCUACCAGGGACUUCUAGAAGAAGGGCAGAGGAACCGAGGAACCAGGGCCACCAAAAGAAUGUGUUAUCUCACCUAAGGGAGACUAGAGUAGACGGAUGGCCUCUCUUUGGCCUAAACCUUAGCUUAAGACUCUAAGUUCUGGUCAGAGCUCCUUGCCAUGCUCAUAGGGAACUGGAGUUAUGAUUACCAAUGUAAACAGCACCUUUACAUGUGUGCAUGUGCAGUGGGUGAGUGCUUGAUCCAAGAUCUAUUCUCCUUGACAGUAGGUUGUUCUGGGUAAUAGGGCAACACCCUGUGCAAAUCUUGAGUGGCCUAAAUCUUGGGCAGACUGUUUGACUGACUGACUGACUGACUGACUGAGGGUGGGUCCCUAUGAAAAUAGGUCAGGCUUCAGUUAGGUGCCUUCCCAUCCCCCUCCUUUCUCAUCUGGAACCCAUUAUCCAGGGUAAAAACCUGUUGGCCCAGGUGAUGCAAAUCUGGAUUAGAAACCUAGAGAUGUCCCUGAAUCAGAGAACCAGACCUUUACCUAAAAGAGGUUCAUUCCCUACCUUCCUGGAUCAUUUUCCUGGUUUCUAAAAGGCCAGCUAGUUUUCCCUACCCCAUCCAAAACUCCCACCAUUUGGGGAGGACCUCAAGACAAGAGGGACAAAGUCUGAGUUAAUUUGCUAUGAAGACCGUAGAAAAGGAAAGAUGAGGCAGGAGCCAGGGCUGACGGGUUUCAAUGAAUAGAUUUUGCCACCUUUUCCCCACUACAAUUCUUUCCCAGAAAUCACACAAAAUUUUUUUUUGUAUUAAGUACCAACUGUAUGCCAGGCAUUGUGCGAAGUACCAUAUAAAGAUUCUUUCUACUGGGCAGUGAUGUCCAACACCUUUGAUUCCAGCACUCAGGAGGCAGAAGCUGGCUGAUCUAUGUGAGUUUGAGGCCACCGCCAGCCUGGUCUACUGAACAACUGCCAGGACCGGCUCCAAAACUACACAG